UAGGGAAUCUUCCGCAAUGGACGCAAGUCUGACGGAGCAACGCCGCGUGAGUGAAGAAGGAUUUCGGUUCGUAAAACUCUGUUGUUAGAGAAGAACAGCGCAUAGAGUAACUGUUAUGCGUGUGACGGUAUCUAACCAGAAAGGGACGGCUAACUACGUGCCAGCAGCCGCGGUAAUACGUAGGUCCCGAGCGUUGUCCGGAUUUAUUGGGCGUAAAGCGAGCGCAGGCGGUCAAUUAAGUCUGAUGUGAAAGCCCCCGGCUCAACCGGGGAGGGUCAUUGGAAACUGGUUGACUUGAGUGCAGAAGAGGAGAGUGGAAUUCCAUGUGUAGCGGUGAAAUGCGUAGAUAUAUGGAGGAACACCAGUGGCGAAGGCGACUCUCUGGUCUGUAACUGACGCGGAGGCUCGAAAGCGUGGGUGGCAAACAGG
rnacentral:rRNA from 1 species